rnacentral:rRNA from 1 species
CUACGGGUGGCUGCAGUGGGGAAUAUUGCACAAUGGGGGAAACCCUGAUGCAGCAACGCCGCGUGGAGGAUGACACAUUUCGGUGCGUAAACUCCUUUUAUAGGUCAAGAUAAUGACGGUAGCCUAUGAAUAAGCGCCGGCUAACUCCGUGCCAGCAGCCGCGGUAAUACGGAGGGCGCAAGCGUUACUCGGAAUCACUGGGCGUAAAGAGCAUGUGGGCGGGUUAAUAAGUCAGAAGUGAAAUCCAAUAGCUCAACUAUUGAACUGCUUUUGAAACUGUCAACCUAGAGUGUGGGAGAGGUAGAUGGAAUUUCUGGUGUAGGGGUAAAAUCCGUAGAGAUCAGAAGGAAUACCGAUUGCGAAGGCGAUCUACUGGAACAUUACUGACGCUGAGAUGCGAAAGCGUGGGGAGCAAACAGGAUUAGAUACCCUGGUAGUC